rnacentral:tRNA from 1 species
GCCUGGGUGGCUCAGUGGGUUAAAGCUUCUGCCUUCAGCUCAGGUCAAGAUACCAGGGUCGUGGGAUCGAGCCCGCAUCAGGCU